rnacentral:rRNA from 1 species
AUUGAACGCUGGCGGCAUGCUUUACACAUGCAAGUCGAACGGCAGCGGGGAGGAGCUUGCUUCUCUGCCGGCGAGUGGCGAACGGGUGAGUAAUACAUCGGAACGUGUCGAGAAGAGGGGGAUAACCACCCGAAAGGGUGGCUAAUACCGCAUAAAUUCUGAGGAAGAAAGCUGGGGACCUGGGAAUAGGCCUAGCGCUUUUUGAGCGGCCGAUGUCGGAUUAGCUAGUUGGUGAGGUAAAGGCUCACCAAGGCGAAGAGCUGUAGCGGGUCUGAGAGGAUGAUCCGCCACACUGGGACGGAGACACGGCCCAGACUCCUACGGGAGGCAGCAGUGGGGAAUUUUGGACAAUGGGGGCAACCCUGAUCCAGCCAUGCCGCGUGUAUGAAGAAGGCCUUAGGGUUGUAAAGUACUUUUGUUAGGGAAGAAAAGUCAGCUGUGAAUAAUGGCUGAUACUGACGGUACCUAAAGAAUAAGCACCGGCUAACUACGUG